rnacentral:rRNA from 1 species
GGAGGAGGCUACUUUAGUUAAUACCUAGAGAUAGUGGACGUUACUCGCAGAAUAAGCACCGGCUAACUCUGUGCCAGCAGCCGCGGUAAUACAGAGGGUGCGAGCGUUAAUCGGAUUUACUGGGCGUAAAGCGUGCGUAGGCGGCUUAUUAAGUCGGAUGUGAAAUCCCCGAGCUUAACUUGGGAAUUGCAUUCGAUACUGGUGAGCUAGAGUAUGGGAGAGGAUGGUAGAAUUCCAGGUGUAGCGGUGAAAUGCGUAGAGAUCUGGAGGAAUACCGAUGGCGAAGGCAGCCAUCUGGCCUAAUACUGACGCUGAGGUACGAAAGCAUGGGGAGCAAACAGGAUUAGAUACCCUGGUAGUCCAUGCCGUAAACGAUGUCUACUAGCCGUUGGGGCCUUUGAGGCUUUAGUGGCGCAGCUAACGCGAUAAGUAGACCGCCUGGGGAGUACGGUCGCAAGACUAAAACUCAAAUGAAUUGACGGGGGCCCGC